rnacentral:rRNA from 1 species
ACUACGGGUGGCAGCAGUGAGGAAUAUUGGUCAAUGGACGAGAGUCUGAACCAGCCAAGUAGCGUGAAGGAUGACUGCCCUAUGGGUUGUAAACUUCUUUUAUAUGGGAAUAAAAUGUUCCACGUGUGGGAUUUUGUAUGUACCAUAUGAAUAAGGAACGGCUAACUCCGUGCCAGAAGCCGCGGUAAUACGGAGGAUCCGAGCGUUAGCCGGAUUUAUUGGGUGGAGAGGGAGAGUAGGUGGAUUGUUAAGUAAGUGGUGAAAGUUUGCGGCUCAACCGUAAAAUUGCAGUUGAAACUGGCAGUCUUGAGUACAGUAGAGGUGGGCGGAAUUCGUGGUGUAGCGGUGAAAUGCUUAGAUAUCACGAAGAACUCCGAUUGCGAAGGCAGUUCACUGGACUGCAACUGACACUGAGACUCGAAAGUGUGGGUAUCAAACAGGAUUAGAUACCCGGGUAGUC